AGGCUCGCCUGCGAGCCAGCAGCGCACCGCACCGAGGCCGAGGGUCGGAGCCGGGAUUCGAAACCCAACAGCCACGCGGGCGUUCUAGAGGACACUGGGGAGCCGCGUUCGCGGGGGGCAGGGAGCCGGGGGCGCGGGGGAGGGGCGGACCCGGCGCGCCCCAGCGGGCCAGAGCGGAGGGAUGCGCUGACUGUCGUCGCCGGAGACUUAUUCAGGUGCGUCACUAUCCUAUUUCCCUCGCCCUUGUCCUGUGCGAAUGAACCGUCGCCGAGCUGGCCUCUACUCGUCGCGCACACCAGCUACUGGAGCUGCAGCGCACCCAUCUUCUUGUAUCUGUAUGUAAAAAUUUUCUCCGACAGCUCAGGGAUAGGGAUGUAAAAAUUCCACAUUUUAAUGAAAAAUUUCAGACGAUGCCACGGUGAUUCGGAAAGCCUCAACGAUCUGAGGAAUUUAUUAGCAAAGGAUUCCCGAGUCCAGGGAGCACACUGAUCAGGGACGACUUCAGGAAGCUGGUGCGUUCUGGCCAGAACUGAGAAGAGAAAUGCAGAUCAUUUUGUACAGACAGGGAGGGGAUGACCUGGAUAAAACUUAAGUAUAAUUAACCAGAAGUACCUGGCAGACUACGAUGGGUGCCUUGGAGGCCCAGGAGAAAAGAAGACUGAGGAAUCCAAAUGUAUAUGAUGCACUGCUGUGAAAAUACGCCCUGACCCUUCAAAAAAAAAAAAAAAAAAAAAAAAAGAGGGGCUAAAAAUCCAUGUGUUCUGAAAUGUUCACCACGUCACACAGUUUUCAGUGAUGCCCUGGGGUUAUGACUGAGCCUAACUUGCACUUUUGACCUGCAGUAUAGAUACACGAGCCAUCUUUCAAGGGGUUAGACACUAAGUGCUUUAAAACUCUUUUAAGUGUUAUUUUCUGACAGUACAGAAAAGAAAAUUGAGGCAUCAUUGGCGGUAAAGCACAUCCUGAGUGGUCAAAGGGGCCUCUGAACCCAGAGCUUCCUUUGCCUUCGCCUCACAGUGCACCUCUUCCCUGGGACUGCAACCCUUAAUUUCCAAGUAUGUCUGCUGUGGGCUCCCAUUCCAGAUGCUCACUGAAGUCCUCUCAGAAGCCUGCAAGAGGACCCCCAUUGAAGGUGGCUGAAUCUGGAGUGUGAGAUGCUGGGCUUAAGGGCGUGUGAUUACUAGACCACUACAUGUGAGUGAUUGGUUUGGCACCACCCUAAUCCCAUAGUCUGAAUAAGAUAUAAGGGGCAGAAAUACACUGUUAAGGUCCCUUGUCACUUUUGCUGUGUUUCCCUGCCAUAAACUUUUGCCCCUCUGCC
rnacentral:lncRNA from 1 species